rnacentral:tRNA from 1 species
GGAGGGAUGGGUGAGUGGUUAAAACCGCCAGACUGUAAAUCUGGUCCGCAAGGUACGCUGGUUCGAAUCCAGCUCCCUCCA